AAACAUGGUAACAAUUAUUCUCUUACUGGAAAAUAGACAUUGUGCUAUUCAAACAGGAGUUCACACAAGAAUAUGUGACUUUAUUUAUUAAUGUAGGCUUUUUCUUUCAUU